rnacentral:rRNA from 1 species
GCUGGCGGCGUGCUUAACACAUGCAAGUCGAACGAAGAGCGAUGGAAGCUUGCUUCUAUCAAUCUUAGUGGCGAACGGGUGAGUAACGCGUAAUCAACCUGCCCUUCAGAGGGGGACAACAGUUGGAAACGACUGCUAAUACCGCAUACGAUCUAAUCUCGGCAUCGAGGAUAGAUGAAAGGUGGCCUCUACAUGUAAGCUAUCACUGGAGGAGGGGAUUGCGUCUGAUUAGCUAGUUGGAGGGGUAACGGCCCACCAAGGCGAUGAUCAGUAGCCGGUCUGAGAGGAUGAACGGCCACAUUGGGACUGAGACACGGCCCAGACUCCUACGGGAGGCAGCAGUGGGGAAUCUUGCACAAUGGGCGAAAGCCUGAUGCAGCGACGCCGCGUGCGGGACGAAGGCCUUCGGGUCGUAAACCGCUUUCAGCAGGGACGAGGCCGCAGGGUGACGGUACCUGCAGAAGAAGCCCCGGCUAACUAC